rnacentral:rRNA from 1 species
CAAUAGCGUAUAUUAAAGUUGUUGCAGUUAAAAGCUCGUAGUCGGAUUUUGGCAUCACGCCGAACUGUCAGCCGAUUGGUUUGUACGGUUUGGCGGGUGCUCUCCUUCCGGAAGCUCGUUCCCUUCUUAGUUGACGGGUUCGAUGGUUCCGGAUCUUUUACUUUGAAAAAUUAGAGUGUUCAAAGCAGGCCUAUGCUCUGAAUAGGUUAGCAUGGAAUAAUAGAAUAGGACUUUGGUUCUAUUUUGUUGGUUUCUAGGACCGAAGUAAUGAUUAAUAGGGACAGUUGGGGGCAUUCAUAUUCCAAUGUCAGAGGUGAAAUUCUUGGAUUAUCGGAAGAUGAACUUCUGCGAAAGCAUCUGCCAAGGAUGUUUUCAUUGAUCAAGAACGAAAGUUAGGGGAUCGAAGACGAUCAGAUACCGU